CCUACGGGAGACUGCAGUGAGGACUAUUUGUCAAUGGGCGCGAGCCUGAUCCAGCCACGUCGCGUGAGGGAAGACGGUUCUAUGGAUUGUAAACCUCUUUUGUCGGGGAGCAAAAGACGCCACGCGUGGCGUUCCGAGAGUAACCGACGAACAAGGAUCGGCUAACCCCGUGCAUGCAGCAGCUGUAAUCAGGAGGAUGCGAGCGGUAGCCGGAUUUAUUGGGGUAAAAGGGUGCGUGGGCGGAGUGUCAAGUCAGCGGUAAAAUUUCGGGGCUCAACCGCGGCGUGCAGGUGAAACUGACGCCCGUGAGGGAGUGAGAAGUAAGCGGAAUGCGUGGUGUAGCAGUGAAAUGCAUAGAUAUCACGCAGAAAGCCGAGUGCGAAGGCAGCUUACCGGCGAUCAACUGACGCUGAGGCACGAAAGUGCGGGUAGCGAACAGGAUUAGAUACCCCAGUAGUC
rnacentral:rRNA from 1 species